ACGGAAGGCAGCAGUGAGGAAUAUUGGUCAAUGGACGAGAGUCUGAACCAGCCAAGUAGCGUGCAGGAUGACGGCCCUAUGGGUUGUAAACUGCUUUUGUCAGGGAAUAAAGUUGCCCACGUGUGGGUAUUUGCAUGUACCUGAAGAAUAAGGACCGGCUAAUUCCGUGCCAGCAGCCGCGGUAAUACGGAAGGUCCGGGCGUUAUCCGGAUUUAUUGGGUUUAAAGGGAGCGUAGGCCGUAGGUUAAGCGUGUUGUGAAAUGUAGUCGCUCAACGUCUGCACUGCAGCGCGAACUGGCUUACUUGAGUGCGCGGGAAGUUGGCGGAAUUCGACGUGUAGCGGUGAAAUGCUUAGAUAUGUCGAAGAACUCCGAUUGCGAAGGCAGCUGACUGUAGCGUAACUGACGCUGAAGCUCGAAAGUGUGGGUAUCGAACAGGAUUAGAUACCCUGGUA
rnacentral:rRNA from 1 species